rnacentral:rRNA from 1 species
UACGUAGGGGGCAAGCGUUGUCCGGAAUCAUUGGGCGUAAAGCGCGUGUAGGCGGCCCGGUAAGUCCGCUGUGAAAGUCGGGGGCUCAACCCUCGGAUGCCGGUGGAUACUGUCGGGCUAGAGUGCGGGAGAGGCGAGUGGAAUUCCUGGUGUAGCGGUGAAAUGCGCAGAUAUCAGGAGGAACACCAAUUGCGAAGGCAGCUCGCUGGAACGUUACUGACGCUGAGAACGCGAAAGCGUGGGGAGCAAACAGG